GAGUUUGAUCCUGGCUCAGGAUGAACGCUGGCGGCGUGCUUAACACAUGCAAGUCGAACGAUGAUGCCUAGCUUGCUGGGUGGAUUAGUGGCGAACGGGUGAGUAACACGUGAGCAACCUGCCCCUGACUCUGGGAUAAGCGCUGGAAACGGUGUCUAAUACUGGAUAUGAACAAGAAUCGCAUGGUUACUUGUUGGAAAGAUUUUUUGGUUGGGGAUGGGCUCGCGGCCUAUCAGCUUGUUGGUGGGGUAAUGGCCUACCAAGGCGUCGACGGGUAGCCGGCCUGAGAGGGUGACCGGCCACACUGGGACUGAGACACGGCCCAGACUCCUACGGGAGGCAGCAGUGGGGAAUAUUGCACAAUGGGCGGAAGCCUGAUGCANCAACGCCGCGUGGGGGAUGACGGCCUUCGGGUUGUAAACCUCUUUUAGCAGGGAAGAAGCGUGAGUGACGGUACCUGCAGAAAAAGCGCCGG
rnacentral:rRNA from 1 species